ensembl:snoRNA
UCGUCUGUCCCAAUCCCUGCUGGUCAGCCUGUGGUUUGCCAUGUUUCGCCUGGGGACCAGAUCAUUCUAGAAGCCUCACCCAGAGAAUUGAGCAAAGCUUCAGGAGGCUUGUGCUAGGGGUACUUCUAGACCUCA